AGGCAGAAAACAGCCGCAAGGAGGAUACGAUGGCAACGGCGGCGGCGGCGGAGGGGAAGGCAAGCGGUGGCGUCGCCCAUCAGAAGAGGAUUAGGGCGGAGCAGCGGAAGGAGCGAGCGAUCUGAGGCUAAUACUUCUGGAGUUUGACCAGAUGCUAUGUCCACACAAUGAGGCGAACCAAGGUGGUGCCCGAUGGGAUCGGGGUGGCAUCUAGCAUGUGAGGGAGUUCGAAAUGGCCUUGGAUGGGUGAGGCAGGGCAAGGCAGACUCUACUAAUGUCUAACAAAACAACCUUUGGUCGAGUUAACCUUCUCACUCCCGAAGAAUCUAAAUAAACGCGUCCUUCUCAAGUAAA